AGCUAUACACUACAGAUUUAUCAUCAUCUUUCUAUAUGAGCAGAAUGUCUCUAACUUGGUGACACUCCUGGUGCAGAUAAGCCCUGAUGGUAUAACAAGUAGAGACGAGAAAGUCUUCAGAGUUGCAAGGGAGAGAGAGGUUCCUGUUGUGAUGCUGACUUCAGGUGAGAAACUAAACACCAACAUAACCAAAAUGCAUGCCUUUUGAGUAAUGUGUUUAUAACAGCUUACAUCAACUUAUGUGCAGGCGGGUACAUGAAGUCCAACGCCAGAGUUAUUGCGGAUUCCAUAGAGAAUCUCUCACGUCAAGGGUUAAUCAAGACACAACUGGACUCAGCUUCCACGUGAA
rnacentral:lncRNA from 1 species